GCCCUAGAGAAAAACGGCAGAACAGCACCACCUAUGGGUGGGCAAAAAACCUACACCUGUUGGACUUGCCCAGACAUGUUCUCUCACCAUCAGAGGCAGCAGUGAAAUCAGUUGAGCAGAAACUGAGAAGCUGUAAGGACUGACUGUGUGUUCACCUGUUCUCUGUCCUUUAUGUGUGCGUUCUUGAGGAAAUACCACACACACACACAAGAGCAAACUAAUGCAUACCCAUAUCGGAAACCUGUGCUAACUACCAACUGCUGCAGUUCACUCUGUUCAUCGUUCAAUAAAAGAGGAAACCUCA